AAUAUGAGUAAAUUCCUACCUGAGUCUUUCCAGUGGGAUAUGCAGCAAGAAUAACUUUACAACUGUUACAGUAUUGUAUCCAUAGUUUCUAUCGAAAUAUUUUCCGUGUCUUCGUUUCAUUUGUACACGUGUCACAAAAGCGUGAUAAAACCGCACUACAGCACAACAACAGUCCUAGUGUAGUGUAGACAGUAGACAAAUGUAGACAAUUUGGACUUAAUUCGUUAUGCAUUUUCCAGCAUUUAUUUGGGGAAUUUAUUUUGAACACAAUUUGAAAGAUAAUUGAGAGACACUGACCAUCUUUCUGCUCAGGUUACAGGGUUUAUUGAUGAGACCAUUGGCCUGACAGUUGUCUGCAAACGCUUCCAUGGACUGACACAAAAGUGUCAUGGCGAGCACUUCAUCCCCUUGGGUCGCACACAAGUCCGCCGAGCAGGAGGAGAAGAAAGAUCUAGCGAAUUUAUUCUGUGAUUUCACACACUGACCAAACACGCCUUUCUUUUCAAGAAUUUUCCCGCAAAAUUCUUUAGAUUUGAUACGCCUUUCCCAGGCUUUGUUACAACUGCUAUCAACAUCCUCCGUUUUGCAUCUGUAAAAUUGAAUGUUUCCACAUAGUCCAGUUAGGUGUUGCCCAACAUCACGUGGUACCACGACGCUCACUGCAUGGACACCAUCAAACGUCACGAUUGCACACCUACUGAGAAGCAUGAUGUGUCUACCCUUGGUUACAACGACAAACCGUCCACGUGGUUCCUUAUAUGGAGUGUACGUUAAUACGCCAUCAAUCUUGGAAGAGAACGCGUAAAAUAAAUGUAUAUUACAAUGUUUAUUGUAUGCUUUGUGAAAGUAGAAGGAAUUUCAAAUGGUAUGAACAUAAUAUCAACAAUUCAUUAAAAUAUUUUUGGUGAA